CUUGCCCAUGACAGCGUGUCUAAAAAUACAUCCACCGAGACGCAGGCAUAUGCUCGCGCCUCGGUGUGAAGGAGCUCUCGCCUGUGUUUCUCGCCAUCUCCAUCUAAAUGCUGGAGCGAGGAGUUAAAUUAUUCCAGAAGGCCCGCCAGGGUCUGAUUUGCCACUGUCUGCUUCCUCGUUGCCUUUGAAUGGGACCCUUGAUCCAAGGCUUUCAGAGACCAGCCGGUGCUGAUGGGGGUCUGUGACUUGGCGGUGGCGCCAGCUUGCUCCUUCUCUGUCUCAGGCAUGGUUUUCUGUCCUGCUGGGGAGGGCGAGAGCGCUGGGCAGAGGUGGCACCUGACCCGCUAGAACUCCGAUGUCACUGCUGUGGCUGUUACUCCCCUCGGCAAGAGUCAAGGCGCACGCAGGACGAUGGCUACAUCUCUCAUUCCGGAUGCCACCAGGCCAUUCCAGCCACCUGCCAUUGUGUUGUCUCCAGACAAGGGCAGACGACCAGAGAAGCUCUGAAGCCCUACGGCUACUUGGAGAGAAGAAUAAUGUCCCUGGCAAAGCGCUGUGAACCAAGGAAGUGAAAUAACAAAGAGCCUGAAGACAGCGCAGCUCCAGCUUGUAGGCCCUGGAGCUCUCUGGACGUCCUCAGACGGACAGAAAGAAGUCAUCUGGAGUCCUCAGACGGACAGAAGGAAGACAUCUGAGGGGUGACCAGGAGGUGUCUGUUGCUGCGGAACACAGGAAAUGAAUCAGAGAGAAAGGAGUGAAAUCUUGUCACGGGAAGAAAGAGAACGAUGGGCAGGUUUUUCUUCUUCUGGCAGGGGCGACUGAUUUGAAGACACCGGCAACAUGGAGACUGCUUCAAAAACACUCAAGAGAAGUUCGAUUUUCC